GAUGAACGCUGGCGGCGUGCCUAAUACAUGCAAGUCGAGCGAACAGACGAGGAGCUUGCUCCUCUGACGUUAGCGGCGGACGGGUGAGUAACACGUGGAUAACCUACCUAUAAGACUGGGAUAACUUCGGGAAACCGGAGCUAAUACCGGAUAAUAUAUUGAACCGCAUGGUUCAAUAGUGAAAGACGGUUUUGCUGUCACUUAUAGAUGGAUCCGCGCCGCAUUAGCUAGUUGGUAAGGUAACGGCUUACCAAGGCAACGAUGCGUAGCCGACCUGAGAGGGUGAUCGGCCACACUGGAACUGAGACACGGUCCAGACUCCUACGGGAGGCAGCAGUAGGGAAUCUUCCGCAAUGGGCGGAAGCCUGACGGAGCAACGCCGCGUGAGUGAUGAAGGUCUUCGGAUUGUAAAACUCUGUUAUUAGGGAAGAACAAAUGUGUAAGUAACUAUGCACGUCUUGACGGUACCUAAUCAGAAAGCCACGGCUAACUACGUG
rnacentral:rRNA from 1 species